rnacentral:rRNA from 1 species
UACGAAGGGGGCUAGCGUUGCUCGGAAUCACUGGGCGUAAAGCGCACGUAGGCGGCUUGUUAAGUCAGGGGUGAAAUCCUGGAGCUCAACUCCAGAACUGCCUUUGAUACUGGCGAGCUUGAGUCCGGGAGAGGUGAGUGGAACUGCGAGUGUAGAGGUGAAAUUUGUAGAUAUUCGCAAGAACACCAGUGGCGAAGGCGGCUCACUGGCCCGGUACUGACGCUGAGGUGCGAAAGCGUGGGGAGCAAACAGG